CUGUUGCUUCGGCGGGGAACCCCCUCGGGGGCGAGCCGCCGGGGACUACUGAACUUCAUGCCUGAGAGUGAUGCAGUCUGAGUCUGAAUAUAAAAUCAGUCAAAACUUUCAACAAUGGAUCUCUUGGUUCCGGCAUCGAUGAAGAACGCAGCGAACUGCGAUAAGUAAUGUGAAUUGCAGAAUUCAGUGAAUCAUCGAGUCUUUGAACGCACAUUGCGCCCCCUGGCAUUCCGGGGGGCAUGCCUGUCCGAGCGUCAUUGCUGCCCAUCAAGCCCGGCUUGUGUGUUGGGUCGUCGUCCCCCCCCGGGGGACGGGCCCGAAAGGCAGCGGCGGCACCGUGUCCGGUCCUCGAGCGUAUGGGGCUUUGUCACCCGCUCGACUAGGGCCGGCCGGGCGCCAGCCGACGUCUCCAACCAUUUUUCUUCAGGUUGACCUCGGAUCAGGUAGGGAUACCCGCUGAACUUAAGCAUAUCAAUAAGCGGAGGAAAAGAAACCAACCGGGAUUGCCUCAGUAACGGCGAGUGAAGCGGCAAGAGCUCAAAUUUGAAAUCUGGCCCCUCCGGGGUCCGAGUUGUAAUUUGCAGAGGAUGCUUCGGGUGCGGCCCCUGUCUAAGUGCCCUGGAACGGGCCGUCAGAGAGGGUGAGAAUCCCGUCUUGGGCAGGGUGCCCGUGCCCGUGUGAAGCUCCUUCGACGAGUCGAGUUGUUUGGGAAUGCAGCUCAAAAUGGGUGGUAAAUUUCAUCUAAAGCUAAAUACCGGCCGGAGACCGAUAGCGCACAAGUAGAGUGAUCGAAAGAUGAAAAGCACUUUGAAAAGAGAGUUAAACAGCACGUGAAAUUGUUGAAAGGGAAGCGCUUGCAACCAGACUCGGCCUCGGGGUUCAGCCAGCAUUCGUGCUGGUGUACUUCCCCGGGGCCGGGCCAGCGUCGGUUUGGGCGGCCGGUCAAAGGC
rnacentral:sRNA from 1 species